AGAUCACCACAGUGACUUGCAAGCAACUCACUGUGCUUUGGUGCCGGACUGCCUAUAUUUUUAAUAUAGAUUUGAAAGAUUUUUGGAUACAGUCAAGUACUUGUAAAGUCAGUGUGUGAGUCAAAAUGGAAUUGACCACUCCUGAUUAACUUCAGGAAGAGAAUAUCUCGCUGUGUUUCAAUUUAGCAAAAUCUAGGCCUGGGUAAUCCUCGUGAGGAGUCACGGGAUUUGCAAAAUUUUGAGACACA
rnacentral:lncRNA from 1 species